rnacentral:rRNA from 1 species
UACAGAGGGUGCAAGCGUUAAUCGGAAUUACUGGGCGUAAAGCGUGCGCAGGCGGUUUUGUAAGUCUGUCGUGAAAUCCCCGGGCUCAACCUGGGAAUUGCGAUGGAGACUGCAAGGCUUGAAUCUGGCAGAGGGGGGUAGAAUUCCACGUGUAGCAGUGAAAUGCGUAGAGAUGUGGAGGAACACCGAUGGCGAAGGCAGCCCCCUGGGUCAAGAUUGACGCUCAUGCACGAAAGCGUGGGGAGCAAACAGG